UAGGGAUGCUAGCAGUUUGGCGGUUCGGUUGCGGCCAAAGGAAUCUCAAAUCCGUCGUCCGCCAUCCGUCCAAAGCUAGGCAGAUUGAAAAAAAUUAAUCUGCAACUGUCUACUCGUCAUCACACAUCCGUCCAAAAUGCGGCAGAUUGAUUCAGUUUGGUCGGUUUGGAUGGAUCGGAAUAUCCGCUGCUCACUCCUACCUAGAGGUCGAUGAAGGUUAAGAUGAAAAACAAAUUCAUCAAUCAUAUUGGAAUCCAGAAACAUUUGUGUUUGGGUUAGAUCGAUCAACGGCCAAAGGGGAUUGGGAUUCUCUCACAAUCUGGGUUCCAAUCUGGCUUUCAGACCUCAGAUUAUUCAAAUCAAUUGCAAAUCAGAGUUUUCACAAGUGGAUUCGGAUUCUCUCAUGAUCUGGUUUCACAGAAUCUCAUUCGAAUUCGGUAUCAGUUGCAUCAAAACAGUCACAUUGUGGUUGUUUACAAGUCUUGAGAGAGAAAGAGAGAUGGCGACGACGACGAAGAAGAGUAUUACGAAGCAUUUCUUACACAAGCAUACAUUGGAGUUGAAUGAUAAGAUGGAGGAGGAGGAGUAUGAAGUUAAGUGCUGUGUGUGCAAACAAGGAAUCUCGGAUUGGCACCACUAUCGUUGCAGUGUAGGCUGCCAUAGAACACGCAUCCACGAGUAUCCCUGCUAUGAAAUUCCAUUCCAAAGAGAUCACCAUCCCCUUCACCCUCACCACUCCCCCCUUUUCGCUUCUUCUGGAUCAUUCUAUCCAGGCAGUUGUGAUUUUUGUGGCAAAUCUUGUCGAAGAAAAUUCAGUUUCAGAAGCAGAAGUGGCAAACAAAUCACUCUCAUCCCUUGAUAUUGUGCGAUAUGGUUAAGAGUUUUGAUUAUACAUGUUGCUGCUGUGGCUUAAGUAUGGAUGGAGAUUGUGUCUAUGUAUGCCUCCGGUGCAAGGGUUUGUUCCACAAUUCAUGCGCCGAGUUGCCCUUGGAAAUCAAGCACCCAUUUCACUCCUCGCAUCCUCUCAUCCUCUCUCAGUCUCAGCCAAGGUCGUUGGGGAUUUUAUCUUCCUGCAGCGUCUGUCGCCACAGCCUUCACCGUUUAAACUACCUCUGCUCUCAGUGUAAGUUUGUGGUAGACGUUAAUUGUGCUCGUUUGAAACCGGAACACGGUCAGAUUCAACAAUUCAGCCACCCUCAUCCCUUGAUUUUCUGCAACAAUAAAGAAAAUUUUCCUUAUACCUGCUAUGCGUGCUGCCUUCCCUUGGCAGAUUCCAUCUAUUUUUGUCCAGAAUGCCCUGCCCUACUCCACAAAUCGUGUGCUGAUUUGCCUCAGGAAAUCGAGCACCUCCUUCACCCUCACUAUACUCUCACCCUCAAAAAUGAUUGGCAUGCCAAAGAUGGAAUUCACUACUGUGAGGCAUGUUUACACUGUUGUAUUGGUUUUUUCUACGAAUGUUGCCAGUGCAAAUGGUAUAUUGACGUUAGAUGUGCCUGUUUGCCAGAGUCCACUAUUUUGAGGUGGUCUAAAAUUCACCACCACCCUCUUGCUUUGAUCUUCAGCACUGAAAAUUUUCGUCGAGGUUGCAAUAUCUGCAAAAAGUGCUUCUCUACCCCUUUCUUCCGUUGUUUGUUGUGCAACUUGAACCUACAUGUCCAUUGUAUUUCAGGAUUACCACCUACCCUCAAAUACCAUAAUCAUGUCCAUUCCCUUACCUUUACCAAUUGUCCAAUUAAAGAUCGUCCAGAUGAAGAUGACAAUGCAGAGUUUUACUGUGAUGCUUGUGAAAAAAGAAGGGAUCUAGCGCAACCAACUUAUUAUUGUAAGGUUGGAUGCCAGUUCGUUGCUCAUCCUCAUUGCGUGGUAUCUGAGAUCAUACACAUUUUAGAAGAAGAGUGGUCAAAGCAUGAAAAAGUUGAGGAGUCACUUGUGUUGACACUGAAAGAUUUUUUAGAUUCAUUUACAGAAAAUGAGAACAAAGAAGUACAAGGUCUUUUCGAAGCCUAUAGAAGGGACAUUCGAGGAGAAAGUGGCAUCCUUCAAAAAAUCUUGAACCCGAACACACUCUUGGGUUUUAAGGAGGGCUACAACUAUGCACAUUUAGACAAGGUUUCUGCCUGGAUUGUGAAGAAGUAUGUUUCUAGAGUUGAAGUCGCAAUGCCUUGGGAAAAAUGGGAUACAACAUCAAAGGUUAUUAAGGAUGGACACUACAUGAUUUUGGAGAACCAGAUCUCCAUCCUAAAAGCCUUGUUUUCCAAGUACACAGAUUUCAGUAUUGGAUCAAGACUUAGUACAAAGGCAACGAUGUUAUUCAUAAUGACAGAAUGUGAAACCGUACACAGCAUGUGCAACACUAAGGUCAUGGACAUAACUACAAGUCUACUUUUGACUUGGUUUCACUCCUUUGCUCUUGCUCAAUAUGCAAACUUCAAAAUUCUUUUUGUCACUGAUCAUUUGACAAAACUGGUGCGUGCUCAUGUUGGUUUCCAAGUUGGUCAUGAUGUUCUUGUAGACCUUAACCUUGCCGAAUACAUUGCCCAGAUCACAAAGCAACACGAGGGCAUAGAUUCUAAAGAUAUUGCCAUCAUUGAAGAAGAUGAAGAAAGCGUAGAUUCUGAAGAACUCACCAUUAUUGAAGAAGACGAAGAAAUUGUAGAUUCUAAAGAACUCGCCAUUAUUGAAGAAGAUAAAGAAACGGUAGAUUCUGAAGAGCUCGCCAUUAUUGAAGAUAAAGAAACUCAUUAUCUCAGGGAGAAGGUAGAUUCUAUGCAACUAACCAUUAUCAAACUGGAUGAAGCUAUUAAAGAUCUUGAAAAGAAGAAACAAGCACUUUUGAAGAAACGCGAGGAUUGGUGCAUAAGAAAGGAGUGCUUGACCCAAACCCCGCCUAGCAUAGCCAACCAUAAAGGCGUAGGUCCAGUCCUAAUCCGGUCCCACAUCGGCUCGGUCCAUGCUUGUGGCCCAAGCCCGGCCUAGCUCGGCACAACAACGAAGCCCGUGUAGGUUCAGCUCGGCCCAAGAUUGUGGUCUGCAUUAGUUUAGCUUGGCCCAACCAUGUGGCCUGUGUUGAUUUAGCUCUGCACAUUUGUUCGGUGUAUACAUGUAUAUAUUGUUCAAGUCAACAUCAAAGAGGAGGGAGAUAGAAAGAGAAUUGAAUACAAGUAUUUUAGCCAUCAUCACAACUUGAACCUCUGUCAAGUGCAGCAAGGCCAAACAUUCCAUUGCUCAGGCUGUGAAAUUUCAUGCACUUCAGAUUAUAUGUCUGCUGGCAAUGCAACUUCUUCCUCCAUGACCACUGUGGCAAUGCCAAUCGCUUCAUAAAAUACCCAUCUCACCCUCUCCACCCUCUCAUCCUCCUCCCAUCUCCUACCUACUGCAGCGGAACCUUACUCUGCAAUGCCUGUGGCCCACAGGCAAGUCCUUCUCCUACUCUUGCACGAUGUGUGAGGUUGAUCUCCAUGUCCACUGUGCUUUCUCACCUCCAACGGUGAACCACAAAUCACACCCACACACACUAAGCCUCGUUCACACCAUUCCAGAGAAAGAAGCAUUGCGUGAUCAUGAUUGAUAUGUAACAAUGUAUUGCAGAGCAAGCAAUGAGGUUAUUGUUGUGUUAAGUGUGAUGAUUUUCAUAUGCAUACAUUUUGUGCUACGAAUGAGGUGAAGCCGGGAUUGUAUCUGGAUGGCGACGAUGAUGGUGGCUUGGAUUCUGGGACCGUAGUCAGGGCCUUUUCAGAGUGGUUGUGAGGAUCAAUUGGAGAUUCAAUUGUCGGAAGAGGCGGUUGUGGAAUUGUUUAAGAUUCAGCUUCAGAUGCAGAUGGCUGAGCAACUUGCAGAGAUGUUGGCAUCACCAAAUCACAGUUCCCCUACUUGAGGAUGCAAUAUCAAUGGCAAAAAAGUCUUGAAUCCACUGAUUUGCAUUGUAAUUGAAGUUAAGGAUGGGUAAUUAAGUUAGUAAGCCAUGUCAAGCUCAUGUUCGCUGAUUUUCAUGUGAUUCAAUUGGUAUUCGGUUGAUGAUAUUAUUACGCCAAUGAUGUUUAUCUUGUAUGGUUGUAACUAUGUAUUAUUGAACUUAUUAUAUAGUUAAAUAUGAUUUGAUAAUGAAAUGCUAAAGCAAUUCAAAAUUAUUGAAGA